CACCAAACAACUCAGGGCUGGAAGUAAGCAACGGGACGUGAGCACGCACGCGUUGGCGCAAAGUGGCUAGGUCUGAACGGGCCGCA
rnacentral:SRP_RNA from 14 species